CCUACGGGAGGCAGCAGUGAGGAAUUUUCCGCAAUGGGCGAAAGCCUGACGGAGCAAUGCCGCGUGAAGGAUGAAGGCCUAUGGGUUGUAAACUUCUUUUCUCAGAGAAGAAUUUUGACGGUAUCUGAGGAAUAAGCAUCGGCUAACUCUGUGCCAGCAGCCGCGGUAAGACAGAGGAUGCAAGCGUUAUCCGGAAUGAUUGGGCGUAAAGCGUCUGUAGGUGGUUUACCAAGUCUUUUGUCAAAGAUCAGGGCUUAACUCUGGGCAGGCAGGAGAAACUAGUAGACUAGAGUUCGGUAGGGGCAGAGGGAAUUCCCGGUGGAGCGGUGAAAUGCGUAGAUAUCGGGAGGAACACCAAAGGCGAAAGCACUCUGCUGGGCCGCAACUGACACUGAGAGACGAAAGCGAGGGGAGCAAAAGGGAUUAGAUACCCCUGUAGUCCUCGCCGUAAACGAUGGAUACUAGGUGUUGGGUAGAUUCAAAUCAUUCAGUACCGUAGCUAACGCGUGAAGUAUCCCGCCUGGGGAAGUAUGCUCGCAAGAGUAGAAACUUAAANGAAUUGUAGCGUGAGACGUGCGACGGACGACGACGAGGGAGGAGG
rnacentral:rRNA from 1 species